GUACGUUAAGUAGACAUAGAAAAUGAUUAGUCUUUAUGAGGUAAUUGUUUGGACAAAAACUCUCUUGAUAAUAGGAAAUUUUCUGGUAAUUAACCUUAAUGAACUGGUCAUUGAGGGCAUGUAAGUAAUAAAACUAGGAUAACAGAAGGCAGUGGUAUUAUCAUCAACAACUAUAAGGGAACUUGUGGAGCCAAGUCAUACCAAAUUAGGAGAUUGACUUUGAGUGAUACAUUUUGUGGCUCACUGUUUACUUGAAAGGGAUAGUCAUGCCAUUGACCCGAGAAAAAGAAUCAAUUAGCAGUAUUUGGUGGCCACACAUUGCUUUUGCAUUUUUGGUUCGUGGAAAUUUAAUUUUUUCGGCCUCUGUAAUUAGUUCCAAUUAAAUAUGCCGCCAAACUAGAUAAAGGAAA
rnacentral:lncRNA from 1 species